rnacentral:rRNA from 1 species
UACAGAGGUCUUAAGCGUUGUUCGGAUUCAUUGGGCGUAAAGGGUGUGUAGGUGGCGCGCUAAGUCGGGUGUGAAAUUUCGGAGCUUAACUCCGAAACUGCAUUCGAUACUGGCGUGCUUGAGGACUGGAGAGGAGACUGGAAUUCAUGGUGUAGCAGUGAAAUGCGUAGAGAUCAUGAGGAAGACCAGUGGCGAAGGCGGGUCUCUGGACAGUUCCUGACACUGAGGCACGAAGGCCAGGGGAGCAAACGGG